CAGAAACACCCUCUGAUACUCAGUGUGUCAGUCACACCGGGAUUCAUUCACUGAGUUCCGGGAGCAAGGCAGCUUUUCAAGGCUGGGCACUAAACAGGGGGAGCUUUGUGAGUGCCUAGACUCCUCUGCCGGCCACCUGCUCUUCCUCUCCUUGGCUUCCACGAAGAAAGCUGCAUGAGAGCAGGGAAUUGCUUUGUCCAAUGCUAAUCACUAAAGCUUAGAAUACUGCUUGUUACAUGGGCCAGAAGUCAAGAAUAGGAGAGCAGCAGAAAACCACUAAAUAUGACAGCCAGCUUCACAUGGUUGGGGACCUCUGGCUGGUGAUGUUACCUGCCACAGGAUGUGCCCUGCCCAAUCAGCUUGCCAAGUCUAGCUUGUGCACUGGUUCCUGAGUUCUUGUCCUGUGCCCAAGAAGAAUGAGGAUGUGCUGACCAUUGAAGGAGUCUUGUUCUGUUGACCAGGCUGGAAUGCUGUGGUGUGAUCUCGCCUCAUUUCAACCUCCACCUCCCAGGUUCAAGCGAUUCUCCUGCCUCAGCCUCCCGAGUAGCUGAGACUACAGAGCCACCUCUUAGUUGGACUAUUUCACUGCAACAGUCCCCUUCAGCUGGCAACGUGGAGCCUGUAACUUAACUGCAUAUGCUCUGGCACCUAUUUCCUGUGGUCACAAUAUAUCAACAACAUGAAGUUAAUCCUGAAAUUUUACUGGGCAUUGAGCGUGCAGAG
rnacentral:lncRNA from 1 species